rnacentral:rRNA from 1 species
AAUUCGAAGCAACGCGAAGAACCUUACCAGGGCUUGACAUGCAGGUAGUAGCGAGCCGAAAGGUGAGCGACCCUUACCUUAAAGGUGAGGAGCCCUGGCACAGGUGGUGCAUGGUUGUCGUCAGCUCGUGUCGUGAGAUGUUGGGUUAAGUCCCGGCAACCGAGCGCAACCCCUGCCUCUAGUUGCCAGCGGGUGAAGCCGGGCACUCUAGAGGGACUGCCGUGGACAACACGGAGGAAGUGGGGAUGACGUCAAAUCAUCAUGCCCUAUAUUGCCCUGGGCCACACACGUGCCACAAUGGCCGGUACAGAGGGAAGCGAAGCCGCGAGGUGGAGCGAAACCCAAAAAGCCGGUCCAAAGUUCGGAUUGCAGGCUGCAACUCGCCUGCAUGAAGUCGGAAUCGCUAGUAAUCGCGGAUCAGCAUGCCGCGGUGAAUACGUUCCCGGGUCCUU